rfam:Triticum aestivum genome assembly, contig: Triticum_aestivum_CS42_TGACv1_scaffold_250478_3DL
AUGAUACUCCCUCCGUCCGAAAAUACUUGUCGAAGAAAUGAAUGUAUCUAGACAUAUUUUAGUUCUAGAUACAUCCACUUUUACCCAUUUGUGCGACAAGUAUUUUCGGACGGAGGGAGUAGUAA